AAAGUAAAAAAUGUUUUAUUUGACGAAACAGAGCGACAUCACAUUUACAUAAAUUACAUAAAGAAGUUAUACAUUGUGCCCUGCUGUCAAAUAGGGGCCCGCUCAGCAUUAAUCGGGGCAUGCCAUGGGCAUGCCUCGACACCGAUUUUCAGCGGGUCCCUUGACGUUGCUGCGCCCUACCGCCGAAGGAGAAGCACUCCGUAAAGUACCUGUCCGUCGGCGGGAACACGCAAUAAGGGGGCGGCAAAAAUGUACCCAUAAAAAACAAACACAAAAAUCAAAUAAAAAAUCAAAUAAAAAAUAAUAAAAACAAAACAACAAAUCAACAAAACCAACAUUUAUGCAAUCUACGACAAAUCAGGGUGGCCAUGACCAUAAGUCCAAUCCAAUCGUCGCGACAUAACACUAUCUUUGUGUUGCAGAGUCCAUUGCCAAAGAUUAAGAAGAAAGGAAAAAAAAACAAAAAAACAAAAAAAAAGUAAAAAGUGUCCGAGACAUUAAAAACGAUCAUUGAAUAGCCUGCCAUAAACCAAACCGAAACCGUCCCACCAGAUGCACCGACAGAGGGGCGCCACCAUCGUUUAACUCUAUAGUUUUUAAUAGUCAAAAAUUGGAACCAGCGAUCCGGCAUUGAUGGUGGCGCCCCGCCGCCAUCGCACGGAUAGGUCACGGUUGGGUCCAUACAUAAAUAUAGUGAUCUGUGGAAUGAAUAAAAACAAAACACCGUCGUAUGAUUAAAAUUUCUCUCUGACCGCCGCCAGCCAGCCAUGCCACUUCGCUCCAAUCACGCCAUACAUAAGUGCCACGUAAUCACCGUUAUAAUACCACCAAGCAACAAAUAAACAGAGGAGAGGCGUACUUGUCGUGAGGAUACCAUGGGUGUGUGUUUUGUGGUAGUGUUUUCGCUGCGACAAAGAUGACGCUCUGGCAGUUCGAAAGAUCAACGACUUUGAUGUCUUCCAGGUCCAGUGAUGAUAAUAUGUUGAGGAAGCAACCACCAUAGCACCAUCACACUAAAGCGAGAUGGGUCGCUAGGCACCUAUGCUGGGACGAAACCAUGUAACCCGUGUACAUGUUACGUGCAUACACUGUAGGGCACGAAUCGGCGGGGGGAGAUCGUUCCAACAACGCGUCGCAGCGAACCUGAAGGAGCCACGAAAUGCGACUGUUCGAUGCCUCGGUGUGGAGAAAAUGUGGGUGCAUGCUCGUUUCGGAUACUUUCUAUGACCAUCAGCCCACUCCAACUUAUCAUACAGAUAUUUGGGCUUUGCUGCUACAAUAAUGCCAAACAACAUAGUGGCGAGAUGCAACCUCCUGCGCGCCUCCAUUUUAAUAAGGCCUGCAGAGUUUAAGAAGGGGGUAAUAUGUGUGCGUGGCGGCACAGUAAAACAGAAACGCGCACAUGCAUUCUGAACUCUUUGAAGCAGUUUCGCUGACCUGGCGAGUAGGCAUGGACCAUACACUGUGUCACAGUAGUUUAGUUUGGACAGUACAAGAGAUUCACAAAGCAAUAUUCUGAGUUUCUCACUAAUAUAUGGUCUAAGCCUGUACAGCACUUUCAGCCGAUAAAAGCAGCUCCUAACACACUCACUGAUAUGGCUCUCGAAACGAAGGUGGCUGUCAAAAACUAUGCCCAGGUUCCUUGCUUCCACCACUCUCUCAAUGGGCUCUCCAUUUAUAAAAACAUUGAGGGCUAUAGUACUUAGUUUUUUUAUAUUUUUAGCAGUUCCAAAAAGCAUAAGUUUUGAUUUUUUGGGGUUUAUCACCAGGCAGUUAUUCUUGCACCACUCUGAGAUGC